rnacentral:rRNA from 1 species
UACGUAGGUGGCAAGCGUCGUCCGGAAUUAUUGGGCGUAAAGCGCGCGCAGGUGGUUCCUUAAGUCUGAUGUGAAAGCCCACGGCUCAACCGUGGAGGGUCAUUGGAAACUGGGGAACUUGAGUGCAGAAGAGGAAAGUGGAAUUCCAAGUGUAGCGGUGAAAUGCGUAGAGAUUUGGAGGAACACCAGUGGCGAAGGCGACUUUCUGGUCUGUAACUGACACUGAGGCGCGAAAGCGUGGGGAGCAAACAGG